rnacentral:rRNA from 1 species
CAAUAGCGUAUAUUUAAGUUGUUGCAGUUAAAAAGCUCGUAGUCGGAUUUUGGCUGAGAACGAUCGGUCCGCCGUUAGGUGUGCACUGAUUGGUCUCAGCUUCCUGGUGAGGAGGUGUGCUUCACGGCCACUUAGUAACCGUGGUUACUUUGAAAAAAUUAGAGUGUUCAAAGCGGGCUUACGCUUGAAUAUAUUAGCAUGGAAUAACACCAUAGGACUCCUGUCCUAUUUCGUUGGUCUCGGGACGGGAGUAAUGAUUAAGAGGAACAGUUGGGGGCAUUCGUAUUUCAUUGUCAGAGGUGAAAUUCUUGGAUUUAUGAAAGACGAACUUCUGCGAAAGCAUUUGCCAAGGAUGUUUUCAUUGA